rnacentral:rRNA from 1 species
UACGAAGGGGGCUAGCGUUGCUCGGAAUCACUGGGCGUAAAGCGCACGUAGGCGGAUCUUUAAGUCAGGGGUGAAAUCCCAAGGCUCAACCUUGGAACUGCCUUUGAUACUGGGGAUCUCGAGUCCGGAAGAGGUGAGUGGAACUGCGAGUGUAGAGGUGAAAUUCGUAGAUAUUCGCAAGAACACCAGUGGCGAAGGCGGCUCACUGGUCCGGUACUGACGCUGAGGAGCGAAAGCGUGGGGAGCGAACGAG